UACGUAGGGUGCAAGCGUUGUCCGGAAUUAUUGGGCGUAAAGGGCUCGUAGGCGGUCCGUCACGUCGGGAGUGAAAACUUGGGCUUAACCCCAAGCCUGCUUCCGAUACGGGCGGACUAGAGGUAGGCAGGGGAGAACGGAAUUCCUGGUGUAGCGGUGAAAUGCGCAGAUAUCAGGAGGAACACCGGUGGCGAAGGCGGUUCUCUGGGCCUUACCUGACGCUGAGGAGCGAAAGCGUGGGGAGCAAACAGG
rnacentral:rRNA from 1 species